UUUGGGUGACCACACAUGGUGCGCGCCUUGCUUCCAGAAUGAACAACGCUCAUCGCUUUGCCCUGUGGGCGCUCAGCGUGGCCGCCACUGCCAUUCUAGCCGACAUCGCAAACAGCGGCCCCUACUUCAUAGAUAUGGAGGCUUUCGAGCCGUGCGAUAACAUCGGAACGCUGGGCAUCAACUUCGAAGUCCGCCUCAUUGUGGACUCCGACAACAACACCGUCUACGAAGGAGACCUCACUUUUCCGUACGACUUGAGCGAUCCAGAGAUGACGACCAGCGUGUUAGUCGACCGAUGGGGCAGCACUGGUGGCUGGACCCGCAUCUACAACCUAACGGAGAAAGAUAUAUUCACGUACAUGAAGCUCAACUUUCCUAACGUCUUCGAAGUUUAUUACGGCUCCUUUGGUGUCACGGGCCCUCCAGCACCAGCCGGCAAGUACAGCAUGAAGCACUUCUUUCCACUGAACUUAAAGUUGCAGAGGAUGGCCUCGCUAAUGUAUGGACGCUUCAAGUUGAAUUUUCUGCAGUUCAAGGAUGGUGAAGACCUGGGUUGCCUCCAGGCCGUCUUCAGAGUCAAUGAGGCCGCAGCAGGUGAUGCAGCCAAAACACAUUUCGGCUAGUGAAACAUCAUUCAAGGACUUCUUGCUGCAAAACGACCCACCGGGCAGAGUCUGUAACAGAAGAGUAACAACGUGGAACACUCGCAGCUAGCCACAUGGAUCGAUAAUAAAUCUGUCAAAUAUUUAUAAACGUUGCAAUACAUUUUAUACUCUACAUGAAAACCCCACCAUAAAUAUAAUGAUGUACCUGA